GACGAACGCUGGCGGCGUGCUUAACACAUGCAAGUCGAACGGAAAGGCCCUGCUUUUGUGGGGUGCUCGAGUGGCGAACGGGUGAGUAACACGUGAGUAACCUGCCCUUGACUUUGGGAUAACUUCAGGAAACUGGGGCUAAUACCGGAUAGGAGCUCCUGCUGCAUGGUGGGGGUUGGAAAGUUUCGGCGGUUGGGGAUGGACUCGCGGCUUAUCAGCUUGUUGGUGGGGUAGUGGCUUACCAAGGCUUUGACGGGUAGCCGGCCUGAGAGGGUGACCGGCCACAUUGGGACUGAGAUACGGCCCAGACUCCUACGGGAGGCAGCAGUGGGGAAUAUUGCACAAUGGGCGGAAGCCUGAUGCAGCAACGCCGCGUGCGGGAUGACGGCCUUCGGGUUGUAAACCGCUUUCGCCAGUGACGAAGCGUGAGUGACGGUAAUGGGUGAAGAAGCACCGGCUAACUACGUG
rnacentral:rRNA from 1 species